AGUGAACGCUGGCGGUAGGCCUAACACAUGCAAGUCGAACGGCAGCACAGUAAGAGCUUGCUCUUACGGGUGGCGAGUGGCGGACGGGUGAGGAAUACAUCGGAAUCUACUUUUUCGUGGGGGAUAACGUAGGGAAACUUACGCUAAUACCGCAUACGACCUACGGGUGAAAGCAGGGGAUCUUCGGACCUUGCGCGAUUGAAUGAGCCGAUGUCGGAUUAGCUAGUUGGCGGGGUAAAGGCCCACCAAGGCGACGAUCCGUAGCUGGUCUGAGAGGAUGAUCAGCCACACUGGAACUGAGACACGGUCCAGACUCCUACGGGAGGCAGCAGUGGGGAAUAUUGGACAAUGGGCGCAAGCCUGAUCCCCAUACCGCGUGGGUGAAGAAGGCCUUCGGGUUGUAAAGCCCUUUUGUUGGGAAAGAAAAGCAGCAGGUUAAUACCCCGCUGUUCUGACGGUACCCAAAGAAUAAGCACCGGCUAACUUCGUG
rnacentral:rRNA from 1 species